rnacentral:rRNA from 1 species
AGAGUUUGAUCAUGGCUCAGAACGAACGCUGGCGGCGUGCCUAACACAUGCAAGUCGUGCGGGAAAGUUCCCUUCGGGGAGCGAGUACAGCGGCGCACGGGUGAGUAACACGUAGGUAACCUACUCGCGAGACUGGGAUAACCUGCCGAAAGGCGGGCUAAUACUGGAUAAGACCACGGGGGCUGCGGUUCCCGGGGUAAAAGGUGGCCUCUGCUUGCAAGCUACCACUCACGAAUGGGCCUGCGCGCCAUUAGCUAGUUGGCGGGGCAAUGGCCCACCAAGGCGAAGAUGGCUAGCUGGUCUUAGAGGAUGGCCAGCCACACUGGGACUGAGACACGGCCCAGACUCCUACGGGAGGCAGCAGUGGGGAAUAUUGCGCAAUGGGCGAAAGCCUGACGCAGCGACGCCGCGUGGGUGAUGAAGGCCUUCGGGUCGUAAAGCCCUGUCGGGAGAGACGAAACCUCGGCGACCUAAUACGUCGUCGAUCUGACGGUAUCUCCUAAGGAAGCACCGGCUAACUCCGUGCCAGCAGCCGCGGUAAUACGGAGGGUGCAAGCGUUGUUCGGAAUUACUGGGCGUAAAGCGCGUGUAGGCGGUCACCUAAGUCUGAUGUGAAAGCCCGGGGCUUAACCCCGGAAGUGCAUUGGAAACUGGGCGACUCGAGUGCCGGAGAGGAGGGUGGAAUUCCUGGUGUAGCGGUGAAAUGCGUAGAUAUCAGGGAGGAACACCGGUGGCGAAGGCGGGCCCUCUGGACGGAUACUGACGCUGAGACGCGAAAGCGUGGGGAGCAAACAGGAUUAGAUACCCUGGUAGUCCACGCUGUAAACGAUGGGCACUAGGUGUUCGGGGUAUUGACCCCCUGAGUGCCGCAGCUAACGCAUUAAGUGCCCCGCCUGGGGACUACGGCCGCAAGGUUAAAACUCAAAUGAUGACGGGA